AAUAAGUAUAGUUUUGCACUGUUCAAAUCCAACGUUAGACCAUUCGUUUUAUUUGAAAAUUUUUAUGAUUAGUAUUUUUAUUGGUAUUAGAUGAUAAAACAUAAAUAGUACUUUAUGUGUGACUAAUUUUUUAAAUUAUUUUUAUAAAUUUUUAAAUAAAACGGAUGGUCAAACGUUGAACACGGAUACCCACGACUGCGUUUAUU
rfam:Oryza nivara chromosome 8, whole genome shotgun sequence.